rfam:Mesocricetus auratus contig214181, whole genome shotgun sequence.
AGAUAUGACAAUGAUCUGGUUACAACUGUCACGCCACCCAUCACCCAGGCUAAUCAAACUGCUACUGCUGCUGCUGCUGCUGCUGCUUCCCUCUUUGCUCCUUGGGUAUUCCUCCUGAAGCUGAGCUGCUCUCCAUCUAAAAUGAUGGCCUUCUCCAACAGAGAGGACCAUUCUUCAUUCAAGGGUCUACAAGUAGCUGGACUUUUCUGUUAAGAUCCUCCAAACAAGCUCUCAAGGUUCACAAAUCCUCCAUGUUUAUGUUGAAAGUCAAUGCAGAGAUUGUCGCAAUAGAUCAAUUAACUGUAAGACUAUGCCACAACUAAUCUAAAAUU